rnacentral:rRNA from 1 species
UGAACGCUAGCGACAGGCCUAACACAUGCAAGUCGAGGGGCAGCACAAGGAGCAAUCUGAGGUGGCGACCGGCGCACGGGUGAGUAACACGUAUGCAACCUGCCUGUAAGCGGGGAAUAACCCGUUGAAAAGACGGACUAAUACCGCAUAAUACUAAAUUACUGCAUGGUAAUUUAUUUAAACAUUUAUGGCUUACAGAUGGGCAUGCGCAUGAUUAGCUAGUUGGAGAGGUAACGGCUCCCCAAGGCAACGAUCAUUAGGGGUUCUGAGAGGAAGGUCCCCCCACACUGGUACUGAGACACGGACCAGACUCCUACGGGAGGCAGCAGUGAGGAAUAUUGGUCAAUGGACGAGAGUCUGAACCAGCCAAGUCGCGUGCAGGAAGAAUUGUCCUAUGGAUUGUAAACUGCUUUUGCAGGGGAAUAAAGUGCAUCACGUGUGAUGUUUUGUAUGUACUCUGCGAAUAAGGAUCGGCUAACUCCGUGCCAGCCGCCGC